rnacentral:rRNA from 1 species
UACGUAGGGUGCAAGCGUUGUUCGGAUUGACUGGGCGUAAAGGGCGUGUAGGCGGUUGGUCAAGUCGGGUGUGAAAGCCCGGGGCUCAGCGCCGGAAGUGCAUUCGAAACUAGCCAGCUAGAGCGCGAUAGAGGAGGGUGGAAUUCCUGGUGUAGCGGUGAAAUGCGUAGAUAUCAGGAGGAACACCGGCGGCGAAGGCGGCCCUCUGGAUCGUUGCUGACGCUGAGACGCGAAAGCGUGGGGAGCAAACAGG